rnacentral:rRNA from 1 species
CCUACGGGAGGCUGCAGUGGGGAAUAUUGCACAAUGGGCGCAAGCCUGAUGCAGCCAUGCCGCGUGUGUGAAGAAGGCCUUCGGGUUGUAAAGCACUUUCAGCGGGGAGGAAGGCGUUAAGGUUAAUAACCUUGGCGAUUGACGUUACCCGCAGAAGAAGCACCGGCUAACUCCGUGCCAGCAGCCGCGGUAAUACGGAGGGUGUAAGCGUUAAUCGGAAUUACUGGGCGUAAAGCGCACGCAGGCGGUCUGUCAAGUCGGAUGUGAAAUCCCCGGGCUCAACCUGGGAACUGCAUUCGAAACUGGCAGGCUAGAGUCUUGUAGAGGGGGGUAGAAUUCCAGGUGUAGCGGUGAAAUGCGUAGAGAUCUGGAGGAAUACCGGUGGCGAAGGCGGCCCCCUGGACAAAGACUGACGCUCAGGUGCGAAAGCGUGGGGAGCAAACAGGAUUAGAUACCCUGGUAGUC